AACGAACGCUGGCGGCAUGCCUAACACAUGCAAGUCGAACGAGACCUUCGUGUCUAGUGGCUCACGGGUGCGUAACGCGUGGGAACCUGCCCUUAGGCUCGGAAUACUUCUUCGAAAGGGGUGCUAAUACCGGAUAAUGUCCUCGGACCAAAGAUUUAUCGCCUUGGGAUGGGCCCGCGUUGGAUUAGCAUGUUGGUAGGGUAAAAGCCUACCACGGCGACGAUCCAUAGCUGGUCUGAGAGGAUGAGCAGCCACACUGGGACUGAGACACGGCCCAGACUCCUACGGGAGGCAGCAGUGGGGAAUAUUGGACAAUGGGCGAAAGCCUGAUCCAGCAAUGCCGCGUGAGUGAUGAAGGCCUUAGGGUAGUAAAGCUCUUUUAUCCGGGAUGAUAAUGACAGUACCGGGAGAAUAAGCUCCGGCUAACUCCGUG
rnacentral:rRNA from 1 species